rnacentral:lncRNA from 1 species
UGAUAUAUUUGAAUUUAAUGAUUGCAGUUCUAACCGUACGAGAGAGCUUAGAUGCAGCAGUUGAAACUACGCUCAAAUUAGUCAUGAUUUCAAUUAUAAUAUUUUUUUUCUAAGAGAGAAAGAUGAAUGCUAUCUCUUUUGUUUAUUUUUGAGAAAAUAAAGUUAGAUUGAAUAUGUGAAAUAAUUAGAUUUCAAAGUCGGAAUCUCGGAUUCCCAUCAUCAAUUUCUUUGCCACCAACACCGGAGAUGAUCACUCCAACUACAGUAAGGGACUGUUUGAUUAAAUGUAAUUAUAAAUACAGUGUAGUUGGAGAUGCAUAUAGUUAAAAAUACAGCAGUUGUAAUUACAUGCAUCCUAUUUGGUUGGAUGUAUUAAAAGGUGCAACUAUAAAUAAUUUGUUUGAUUAUAUGCAGUUGAGAAAUAAUUUUUAGAAUUUUAUUAUAGCGAGUUUACCUCAAAUAUAAAAAAAAAUUUUAUUUUUUGUUUAUAAAAUAAUUGAGUAAGAAUACCUUUUGAUUAAAGCUACUCUCUUUAACUGCUGUAGUUGAAACUGCGACCAUUUUGAGCGUAGUUCGAACUGCUGUAAUUGGGCCUCCUUUUGCAGUUACUACUACAGCAAUUGGAGUUAAAUAUAUUAAACAAAACAUCAAAUUUGUAUUUGCAUACAGUUAUAACUGCAGUACCGUUAUACCUACAUGCAACCAAAGAGUCCCUAAUUGAAGAGAUCAAUGUUCGAUAAAGAGUAACUUUACACCUCUCUUAUAACAUUUUAGACAAUAUUUUUUUCUUAAAUAGGAGCUAAUCUCACCAUCUAUAUAUAAAAUAAUAAAAUUCUAUAAAUUCACUUUUCAAACGCAUACAACAAAAUAAAUUAUUUAUAGUUAUAAUAUUUUUUUACUAUAUUCAACCAAAUAAGAUGUAUAUAAUUAUAAUUAUUAUAUUUUUAAAUACAUGUAUUUUUAAUUAUACUAUAAUUAUAAUUAC